rnacentral:rRNA from 1 species
AAUGAACGUUGGCGGCAUGGAUUAGGCAUGCAAGUCGAGCGAGAAGUGUAGCAAUACACGGAAAGCGGCGGAAGGGAGAGUAAUACGUGGGAAUCUGCCCUUAGACCUGGGAUAGCAGCGGGAAACUGCUGGUAAUACCAGAUAAUGUCUAUGGACCAAAGGUGUGAUUCCUUCUAGGGAUGCGCCCACGUCCUAUUAGCUAGUUGGUAGGGUAAUGGCCUACCAAGGCGAGGAUGGUAGCGGGUGUGAGAGCAUGACCCGCCUCACUGGGACUGAGACACUGCCCAGACACCUACGGGUGGCUGCAGUCGAGAAUCUUCGGCAAUGGGCGCAAGCCCGACCGAGCGAUGCCGCGUGCGGGAUGAAGGCCUUCGGGUUGUAAACCGCUGUCGAGGGGGAGCAACUUCCAUAGAGUUAUCUUUAUGGGUUGAGUGAUCCCUGGAGGAAGGACGGGCUAAGUUCGUGCCAGCAGCCGCCGCCGUAA